rnacentral:rRNA from 1 species
GCUCAGGAUGAACGCUGGCGGCGUGCUUAACACAUGCAAGUCGAACGAUGAUCCGGUGCUUGCACCGGGGAUUAGUGGCGAACGGGUGAGUAACACGUGAGUAACCUGCCCUUAACUCUGGGAUAAGCCUGGGAAACUGGGUCUAAUACCGGAUAUGACUCCUCAUCGCAUGGUGGGGGGUGGAAAGCUUUAUUGUGGUUUUGGAUGGACUCGCGGCCUAUCAGCUUGUUGGUGAGGUAAUGGCUCACCAAGGCGACGACGGGUAGCCGGCCUGAGAGGGUGACCGGCCACACUGGGACUGAGACACGGCCCAGACUCCUACGGGAGGCAGCAGUGGGGAAUAUUGCACAAUGGGCGCAAGCCUGAUGCAGCGACGCCGCGUGAGGGAUGACGGCCUUCGGGUUGUAAACCUCUUUCAGUAGGGAAGAAGCGAAAGUGACGGUACCUGCAGAAGAAGCGCCGGCUAACUACGUGCCAG